AUCAUCUCCUUGGGACAGGACAUUGCCAGGUGAAGCCUGAAUUGAUCUCUUGGCUGGAAACUGAAGGCCUGGGGAGGCUGCACAGAGAAGUGUUUGUAGAAUGCAGACCUCAAGUUCAGGAUUUCGCCUUCCAGCAAAUUACUUGUGGAACAGAAUCGCCAAGUUGGAGUGAGAUGGGAAGCAUCCAGCCUCAGUGGGACUGGGGUGAUCCUUUGCUGUGGGACACAGACUGGAGGGAACCAUCCUGGUCGCAUCCUGAUGGGAGUGAGGACUCUGGGGGUUUCUCUUCUGGAGAGGGGCAGAGUGAAGAGAGCAUCCUCAAUAUGGAGCCCCAAUCCUCUGGGGAAAGCACCCCUAAAUCUGUUCCUCACAGUCAUUGGAUAAGGACCACUGUGGCUGAACCAAUCUGGGAUAAGAAAGCAGCAGUUUUUGCUCCAAGCUCCUCACUGCAACAUGCUCUCAAGCACAUUCCCCAUGGCGUGGAGCCACUCGAGUGUAAGAAAUGUCGGGGGA